UGGGCCGUCUACAAGCGCGGGCUUGCGGCGCGCGGCGGCGCGCGGAGAUCUCGAGGCAACGGGGAGCGGCUGGGCCCCCGGCGGCGCGCCCCGCGGCCUGAACCGGAGCCGCGCCGGUCGGAGGCCGAGCGCGGCCCGCCUCCCUCUCAGCGCCCAUCUGUCCGGAGUCAAGCCAGCGGUCAUGACCGACCCACCAGGGGCGCCGCCACCGGCGGUCGCAGGCCGCGGGUGAAGAAGAAAAUCCGUACCCGCUCGGCCCGGAGCGAGGAGGUGCCUCAGAACAAGGAGGUGCCUCAGAACAAGGAGGUGCCUCGGAGCGAGGAGGUGACCCCGAGAACGGAGGUGGCUCGGAGCGAGGAGGCG
rfam:Tupaia belangeri cont1.565653, whole genome shotgun sequence.